CAGCAGCCGCGGUAAAACGUAGGUGGCAAGCGUCGUCCGGAAUUAUUGGGCGUAAAGGGCUCGCAGGCGGUUUCUUAAGUCUGAUGUGAAAGCCCCCGGCUCAACCGGGGAGGAUCAUUGGAAACUGGGAAACUUGAGUGCAGAAGAGGAGAGUGGAAUUCCACGUGUAGCGGUGAAAUGCGUAGAGAUGUGGAGGAACACCAGUGGCGAAGGCGACUCUCUGGUCUGUAACUGACGCUGAGGAGCGAAAGCGUGGGGAGCGAACAGGAUUAGAUACCCCUGUAGUCCCUGUCUCUUAUAA
rnacentral:rRNA from 1 species